UUCCUUCCCGCACUAUGAAGUGUUUUAGUAGUAACAUGUGACAGCUCCAUGAAGAUUGUGACUCUAAAAGGGGGUCAUGUCACAGGACAAUUGCUGACAAGCUGUGAAAACACUUCCUCUUACUGCUAACCGACACGACCAUGGACACCAGGCUGCUCACCACUUUAGUUGUUUGUCUCCUGGGAGUAGGGUCUUUUGAUGCCCAAAUUAUCCAGAUUCCAAGAUAUCUGGUCAAAGGCAAAGGACAAAGAACAAACCUGAGUUGUAGCCCUGAACAAGGACACACCCUUGUUUAUUGGUACCAGCAGAGGCAGAACAAGAAAUUAAAGCUCUUGAUUAACUUUCAGGGUCAACACAUUCUUGACCAAACAAACAUGGUCAAGGAGCGGUUCUCAGCUGAAUGGCCCUCCAACUUACCCUCCAGUCUGGAAAUCCAGUCCUCAGAAACAGGAGACUCGGCACUGUACCUCUGUGCCAGCAGUCAGUCCACAAACACCCGAAAUGUGGAGAGGUAG